GGAGGCCACUUUUUGUUGUUGUUGUUGUUGUAGUAGUGGCAGUUUCAAUGGCCUCACUUGGCGCUUUUAAAAAAGACUCCGAUGCGAUAAAGGCACUCUACCACUUUUCUUUUAUAUUUCUAUUUUAAUUCAACUAUUUUAGUAUACUUUUAUGUCUUGUUAAUAGUUUCUAAGUGAAGAAUGAGUUUGUUAUUGCGGGUAAGUGACGGGCAAGUCUGGCAACCCGCAGAAGGCUGGCCACCUCUCACAGCUAACUUACGACGUAACAUCACAAAGUUUCGGUUGAAUAAUAUGAAAGGCCCAGUGAGUUAAGUCAGCAGCUUGGAACUUUGUUCUCAUCAUGGAACGUUUAAACGCCACGUUCUGGUACGGUUACAGUUUUAUCAACUGACUUAACUCGAUUUGACUGACUAACAUGGAUGUGUUGACUGGACGGCGUUAGCCGAGUCAGUUCAGAGCCCGAAGGGAGGACGGAAGGAAGGAAACUGAUAGGAAGGGUCGCUGUGCUCCGUUACAUUUACAAAAGCUAGUGCAGUUUUUGGUCACUGCUUGAGUUAACACCGUGGCGCAUAUAGAAUAUUAACUCCGUGGGAAGUCGGUGAGACUUUUAACAUUCUUUGCUAAAAAGAUAUGCUGCUAGCAGGCACCGCUAGUUUUCAAACACAGUCCUUGCCAGUUGUGCACAAGAGAGAGCUAGCACGUUAGCUUCAAACUUUUAGGAGGAGUUGUGUUAAUCCGAUUUGGUGACCUAUCAGAGUUGUUGACUGGAAAAACAGGCGCGUCUGUGUUUCACCGAAUGACACCCGGUGACUGGAGUCACAAACAACCCCAUGGCGUCGGAUGGGACUGAGAGUGAAGCCGUGCUCAAAGGUUUGAGUGAAGUCAACUUGAACAAUAGCAACCCUGAUUGUGUCACACCCAGUAAGACUCAUGAUGUGCUGGGGAGAAGACACACUUCCAGCCCCUCGUCGUCUGGGGUGUCUGGAGAAGGCGAGGAAGAGGAACUGGAUGUCUAUCAAUGCAGCACAGUAUCCACAGGUAAAAAUGGCGAAGAAACAACGCAGGCCGGAACAGUAACAGGAGUCGAGGCACAGGAAGGAACGAGUCCAGACAAUGAGCUGAAACAGCCUGCAGCGAGAAGCUCCACUCCUGUGAACCUGUCCCAGAAAAACCCAAUAUCUGGACCUAUGGGCAGUUUUGAGCGCCAGGAGUCGGUGGCCACGACCGAAGCCCGUUUACGGAUGGAAGGAGUAGAACUGAAGGAGGAAUGGCAGGAUGAGGACUUUCCACGGCCUCUGCCAGAGGAGGAAGAAGAGCUAGAAGAAGAGCUUUUUGCCGGAACGUCUGAAAAGGGAGACUCUGACUACACUAUCAGUCAUGGCAAGAAGGUAAAGAAAAAACUUGCAGCUCCAGACAUCAGCCUGACAUUGGACCACAGUGAGGGCUCUCUCCUGUCAGAAGAACUGGAUGAAAGUACAGAGUUGGACCUGGACGACAUUGACACACCAUCAGACAACAGCAACGAGUUUGAAUGGGAAGACGAUCUACCAAAACCAAAAAGCACAGAGCUGCUACAGAAAGGUGUGGAGUCGGUUCAGGAGUACUCAGCUUCUGAUGAGAGGGAGGAGGGCCGCCGCUGGAGGGUGUUUCGGUUUGCAGAUCAGGAACACAGAGUGGACAUGAAGGCCAUUGAACCUUACAAGAAGGUUAUCAGUCACGGAGGUUAUUAUGGUGAUGGUCUGAAUGCCAUAAUUGUCUUUGCUGUUUGCUUUAUGCCAGAGAGCAAUAAACCAAAUUACAGAUACAUCAUGGACAAUUUGUUCAAAUAUGUCAUUGGCACACUGGAACUGUUGGUCGCCGAAAACUAUAUGAUAGUGUAUUUAAACGGUGCGACCUCUCGGAAAAAGAUGCCGACAGUUGGCUGGCUCAGAAAGUGUUAUCAGCAGAUUGACAGAAGGUUAAGGAAGAACCUGAAGUCUUUGAUUAUUGUCCAUCCCUCUUGGUUUAUUCGAACCCUGCUGGCAUUAACCAAACCUUUCAUAAGCACUAAAUUUAGUCAAAAAAUCAAGUUUGUGUACAGCUUGACGGACCUUGCAACACUGGUUCCAAUGGAGUAUGUGUCCAUUCCUGAUUGUAUCAAGCACGAAUCAUCCUGAUAUUUCACAGAUACAUGCUGAGGAACACGGAUAGACCUGUCCCACUUCAUACAAGUGAUGAUGGCCGCACACCCGGGCAGGUCCAGGGAAAACUGCACUGGAAUGACCGGGUCAUGCAGCGAGUUCAUGCCUGAUUUGACUUCCCAGAGGACGAGUGACAGGAAGGUGGCUGCCAGGAGGAGACACAGUCUUACCAGAAAAAUAGAUGUACUACGACCUAACACCAACGCAGCCAUCUCGCUGUGGACAGACCACAUUUUUGCGAAGCUGGAGGACAUGGAGAAUGCACAAAUAAAGACUGGUUUAGACAAGUGCUCUCAUCCACAUCCUGGUCGGCAUCAUUGUCCUGCUCGUGGAUGAAGCUGUAGCGUCGAUACACCGAUCCACCUCUGCUGGUGUACACCACGUCCACCUCGUCCCCGCUAUCUGGCUCGGGCACGCCAUGGGGCAUGUUGACGCUGGCACUGCCUCUCAGUCUUUCAUAGCUUUGGCUCCAGCAAAACCUUUUCCGGGCAUGAGCUUUGACCGAGACGUAAACAGCCAGCGCCAGCCCGAGUGCCAGCAACAAGGAAACGGGUGCUGAAUAAGAGUACAAUGGAACAAAGCACCUUUUGCUAGGAGGGAGGAGACAGAGAGAACCCUGAAGAAAACCUGAUCCAUUUCAGGAGCGAUUCAUGAUCUUAUUUACCACGUGAGACUGAUGGCAAAAACCCUAGCCUGAAGCGGAUUAACCCCUCAUUAUCCCAUCCUACUUGGGAUCGUGUCAAGUAUUUUGCAAUAUCCAUGUACUGUCGCGCUUUUGGAAAAUAAAAACUACAGGUGAAACCUUGAAGGUACUUGGCGAUGUGGCAUGUCUGGCAUUCGUUCUCUCCCGGACCCUCACACGAGUGGCACUCUGGAUGGCAGCCCAUGCAGGUGAAUUGGUCAUCGUGCAGGUAGGUUCCAUCAGGACAAUCUGUGUCACCUGUCACUCCACAAAAUAACGUGUUUGGAUCCAGUACUAGUCCUUUCUUGCACUGAGUGCACUGAUUUGGAUCCGGUCCAGCACAGGUCGAACACGUCUGGUGGCAUUCUAAGAGGAAUGCCAAAAUAGCAAAGACUAAUCAGAAGAGAUAUCUCUUAAACUUUGACAAGAGGUCACAGAACACUCUGUGUUCCAUGUUGGAUAAUUUAGUGUUUAAUGCACAACAUCACGAACAUGUAACCAGGAAACAAAAACCAUACUGAAUUUCCCCCGUGUGGAAUGAAUAAAGACUUACCUUAUCUUAGGAAUUCAGUUAUUUGUGCAGAGUGCCGUCAACUUAGGCAUAAAAAUACAACAAAACAGGUACAUAACACAAUAAACGGAUAUGAUUGUGCAAAAAUAACUCAACUGAAAAAGUGGCUGAAGCAAAUUGUUGUGAAACCCAUACCACAUGAGAACUACAGAAUACAUAUUUGUAUUUACAGACAAUAGUUAAUUACAACAUAAUAGCCUUUGAUAUAUAAUAGAGACGCACGCAAUCACCUGCUCUGACCUGAAUCGAAAGUUGCACAACUGAGCUUUAAAUAGAACAAGUCAGUGCUAUUAUAAUCUUUUUGUUGCUCUCACGCUAACACCCCUAAAUUGUAGAAUUAAGGCCAGUAUUAGUGGUAAAAUGAGGUUGCCUCAGAACAAAUACAUUUUAUUUUCCUGGAAUUCAAUGGAUUAAACUGAAGAAACUACAGAUGAAAAUAUACAUGUUAUCAGGUUCUCAAUAGUAUUUCAAUUUGCGGGGGUGUGGAAACAAAAAAUAUGUCUGGGUGGGGCAGAAAAUAAUUAAGAAACACUGCCUUGAUGAGUGAUCAUAUACCGGUCCUGUGAGUGUCAGCUCUUUGGCUUUCUCCCACAUCGCAUUGUGUACACUUAAAACAAAAUAAUAUUUACCUGUCCCCUGGACAGGAUUAGAGAGAGAACAAGUGACUGAACUUUAUGUUAAAAUAAAUAUUAUUUUGAUGUUAGAAGAGACCUUUUUUUUAAAGGUCACAGGGUGGAGCCAUUCUCAGCAUUUCUCCACAACACAAACCACCACCUCUCUAUUUGAUAUAGAUCAUUUUUAGCUCAUACACGCUCUGUUUGUAUCAAGCACUGUGAGACACAGGUAUACUGUAGUUAUAAGCUGCCUGUUUUACUGAUUACAAAAAAAUUGCGGAAAAACCAAACAAAAAAAAAAUCUGUAAAAAUAAGUUAAUAUAAAACUAAGAAACAAGAGUUGUCAGAAUUGGACCAACGUUUACAUUACAAUUACUUUGUUGUGUCUAUUCUGUAAGUUGAAAGACAGAACAAUCGAUCAACUACUGAAUGUAAAAGUAUUAAAAAGGUAGGAAGGCACAGACAAAGACGGAAGUUUAAAAAAAGUUUCUUUUAAAUGUGAAAUACACCUUCAGAUCCCUGCCACUUAGUAUUCUAUGAUUACUGUUGUUGUAAGCUGAGUUACCGCUGCAGUAGGUUAACACCGUAGGUCAUUUAUUCAUCUACUAUUCCUUACAAACCUCCAGGUGGUAAUGGGAAAUGAUUCAAUUACUGCCCAGCCUCACUGAGCGCACGGUGGUACAUAAAGAAGUCCACGGCUGACCAAGUUGACUGACACAGUUGUCGUAGUUGACACAGAGUGGACUGUGGUUAGACGCGAGACUUAUUUUUUAUGUUGAGGACAAUAUCCUCACGACAGGUUUGAAAGUAUCAAAUACCUCGGUGGCUUUCCCGAAAGAGAGGAAGAACAUAAGGUUCUCGUACACAAACCUUUGACCUAUUAUCACUAAUCAAACUUUACAAAAUCAAAGUCAAACAUAAUUGGAGAGGAAACG